CUUUAGUGCGGACUCUGGCCAAUGACUUUCGUUCUCUUAGGAUCUUAUCCCACCCCCCAAAAGCGCGACAGUCUUUGGGUCAUACGUCUAUAGGGCAGGGUGUUCACGUGGUCUGUUUUUACGACCCAGAGUUCCCCUGAGCAGAGGUUCUUCUUUUUUUUUUUUUUCUGCAGGGAGGCAUUAUGGGUUCCCCCCAACCCCUCACUGGGAAAGGAAGUGUCUACGUGGCCUAUAGAAACAGAUGGGCGGAAAUGAGCUAAAUUUCCCGAGAAUGGGGAAGCGCGAGGUCAAGUCGGAGGCCAGAUCCUUGAACCACUUGCGCAACUCUUGGAGGAAAAUAAAGUCGGAGUAGGAGUUUUGAUAUGUGGUCACAGACUUCACUUGGAAUGAUCAUGUCAAAUUACCUGUGUUACACAUCAACCAACAGAAAUGAGGAUUGAUUUCUACCAGUCUGUGCGGACUCCUGCAAUCCGAACAUUGCUUAAGAGGAUGCCUGAAGCCAGUUCUCUACAGGUGCCUGUGCUUUUGAGGGAUCUGGAAAAAGGGAAAUCACUUUGUUACUGCCUUUGCAGGUAUGUUAUCCUAGAUGCAAAAAAAAAAAAAACACACAACAAACUGGCUCAAUUAAGGUGACUUCAUGACAGCAGCCAUACUUCAUUAUUCUAUUGAGAAAAUGUUCUGUGAAUGAGAAAGCCCCUGAUUCAGCUGUCCUUCCUCCCUGUGGUCUGCAAUUUUCUAAAAUUCUGUUUUGAUGUCUUCAGUCCAAGUUUGUAGACUUGUAAAUGUUAUACUAUGUGUGAAGUAUAAUGGAGCAAGGACUGUGAAACUGGAAAGAAUGGCCUAAUUGCCAUCCUUUCAGGGAUGAUUGGCUCUCCCUGUGGAACAGGGAGAGGCAGAUGAUUGUACUGCCAAAAACCCCUCAACUUUACUCUCUUGUCACUGCCAGAGUUUUCAUUUGGUGAUUGGUUUUUGAAAUAUAACUUGAUACUAGUCUUCAUAUUUGGAAUAUGAUUAAUGCUUAAUCAGAUCAUUAUCAUUCUUUGUUCAGCAAUGUAAUUUACUGUGUUUUGAUGUCUUUUUAACUUUGGUUUUGUUAUACCCAAGGACCAGCCUGUGCAUGUGUGUGCAUGCCCAUGUGUGUGUGCAUGCUGUCUGAUGUUAUAAGUUUCCUCCCAAGUCCAUUUUCCUGUGACCAAUAGGUGAAUGGAAAGAGAAUAAAUAGAAGUAUGGUAUACAAUAAACUAUGUGAGAAGCCAUGCUUUUAUUCUACAUAUACAUAUGCUAUGUAUCAGGAAUUGUGUGGAUUAAAAAGUUGUAUAAGAUGCAAUCUGCUCUCAAAGGGUUGAUUCUGCAUUUCUUCCACUCAGCAAGCAAUUAUACUACUUGGGUUCCUAAUCCCUUGUUGGUUAUCAUGCUUAGCUGUUUUUGUCUUUCAUCAGCAGAGCAGCCUGGGAAGAACUUUAAUCCCAACAACGUGAAUUUGAAUUUAAGAUUUUGACAACCAGAAAUGACAAGAUAAUAAUAAUAUUACAACACUGAUAAUAGCACAUUGAAAGUGGAGAGGCACAUGGAGGCACAUACAAAGGAGGUGGUAUGUUCUGGAUAAAGUUGAGAUAUUUGCAUGGCUCAGUGGAAAGGAAAAAGAACUUCGGGAGUCAACUUAACAUUUCAACUACAAGAGUGUCAGUUCUUUGGUGAUAGUGAGGAAAGAGGCUUAUUGUAGAAAGUAAAAGAAAUAAAUUGUAUUUCCUACCUUUCUUCCACACAGAAAACUCUGUUUGAUUUGACUAUGAAUCCUAGGAGAGCCAGAAACCCUGCUAGUGGAUUGAGGGAUGAGAGGAAGACAAAUAACUGCGUUUUCAAAGAACAGAGCAAACUGAAGAAAUGAUAGAGGCACUGGUAAUCUCAACAGCUGAAUAAAUAAAGCCCUUUCUCUGGAAAAAUA